CACUCCCUCUUGUCGUCACAUCCGUGAGCAGCAGGGCAUGCCGGGGUAUCUUCCAUGUUUCAUUAUCUCCGAUCGGCCAGCUAAAACUCGUCCUUGCAUCCUCUCAUCAUCCGUCACCAAGUUCGGAGGUUCAACUAAACCCCCAUGUCCCACAUUAGAUCCGCCGUUGGCAGCAGCAAACAAAAAGAUGAUGAAGAAGAAGAACAAGACCAGCUUUGGGGAUCACGAGUGGAGAUCAGCUUUCCCGAGUUCCAUCGAUACUCCGAGCAAUUGCUUGACAACGUUUCUAAACUCUGCUAUCCGGAGCUUGACGAGAUCAUAGAGCACCUUGCACGCUAUCGCAUUAGAUUCUAUGUUUAUAGCUUUAGCCCUCUCGUGUUUGUGUUAAUAAUUCCUUGUUUAAUCAUCUUGUUUCAAUUAGGUCUUGCCUUUGUUUAGAUGUUUGCAGCAGAGUCCGGAGAUGAGCUGAAAGAUCCAACAUAUUACUCUCUGGAUGAAUUUCGGGAGGAGAGGUAUUUCGUGCGGUAUGAGAAGGAUAAAAGUCUUGGUCAGUACAUCCAUCCUGACCACAUCCGCCUUGCAGGCUUGAGUGAUUACCAUAAACUUGUGCUUAUAAGUGUAAGUGACCGCUCUAGCAGCCUUAAGCCCGUAAGCUACUUUCUUUAGUUGAACUGGUUGCUUUAUAGGUCAAUUGAAUCUUAGCCAGUUUCUUCUUA